UACGUAGGCGGCAAGCGUUGUCCGGAAUUAUUGGGCGUAAAGCGUGCGCAGGCGGUGAUGUAAGACAGAUGUGAAAUCCCCGGGCUCAACCUGGGAACUGCAUUUGUGACUGCAUCGCUGGAGUGCGGCAGAGGGGGAUGGAAUUCCGCGUGUAGCAGUGAAAUGCGUAGAUAUGCGGAGGAACACCGAUGGCGAAGGCAAUCCCCUGGGCCUGCACUGACGCUCAUGCACGAAAGCGUGGGGAGCAAACAGG
rnacentral:rRNA from 1 species